GACGAACGCUGGCGGCGUGCUUAACACAUGCGAGUCGAACGGAAAGGCCCUGCUUUUGUGGGGUGCUCGAGUGGCGAACGGGUGAGUAACACGUGAGUAACCUGCCCUUGACUUUGGGAUAACUUCAGGAAACUGGGGCUAAUACCGGAUAGGAGCUCCUGCUGCAUGGUGGGGGGUGGAAAGUUUCGGCGGUUGGGGAUGGACUCGCGGCUUAUCAGCUUGUUGGUGGGGUAGUGGCUUACCAAGGCUUUGACGGGUAGCCGGCCUGAGAGGGUGACCGGCCACAUUGGGACUGAGAUACGGCCCAGACUCCUACGGGAGGCAGCAGUGGGGAAUAUUGCACAAUGGGCGGAAGCCUGAUGCAGCAACGCCGCGUGCGGGAUGACGGCCUUCGGGUUGUAAACCGCUUUCGCCUGUGACGAAGCGUGAGUGACGGUAAUGGGUAAAGAAGCACCGGCUAACUACGUG
rnacentral:rRNA from 1 species